UCAAAUGGAUCCAGGAGGAUGGCAGAACAGAAACAAUCCUAGCAAUUGCUACAACUGAAAAUAGUUUGUGUUUUUCCUACAUACAAGUGACGAGCAAGAUGAUGAGGAUCAAACUAUACCUAAACUACAGAUAGCAGGUUUUCAUGGAAGGAAAAACAAUUCCUGAAACUUACAAAAGGAUGCGGAAAGCAAGACUUCAAGAAGUGACAUGACAAAGGGGGAAAAGAAGCUUGGAUGACACAGAGAGAUUUACAUCUCAGAGAUCAAGCCUAAACUGCAGUGCCAUAAAAAGAUCCUGAUAAAACCUGCGGAUAAAAGUGAAGGUGAACAAGUUUUAAGCUGUCCGCCACCGCUGGUCAUAGAAGCGACGCAGGACCCUCUGUCUUUGGUGGCACUGGCAUCUGAGGAGCCGAGUGAAAGCCCGCUGGAACUCUUUGCUGGAGCAGGGAUAGAUCAUUGGGUUAAUGCAGCUGUUGAAGUAGCCCAGCCAAAAGACCACCUUGAACACUGUUUCGGAUGGCUUCAGUGCUGGGAAGAAGGAACCUAGAAGGAGAAGCAGUCAUGAGGAAAAGCUUUGUUCUUGUCUCCCAAGGCUUGGAUGCAACACGGUGUUAACCCCUGGACAAGGAGGCCACAUAUCACAAUGCUCAUGUCAUGUCUGCACCGCCUGGGCCCAGAAGACUCAAUUCUGUCAGUACUCUGAGACAUAAACUGGAUAAUAAAAUGGAGUUCUCAGCCUUAUUUGUGUCUUCUUCUGCAGCUGGUAUAUUGUGUGACAUAGUGACAUCUGCUACCUGGCUCUUCCUCUUCUUUCAUUCUGUCUUCUGUAAACCAGUUCUGACUCAUCAUGGUUAUCAUCAUAGAGACUGAGAUUAAUAAAGUGAUUAAAGGAAGCAAUGUUUUCCACUGAUUCUACUCAUUGAAAUGACAUCACCUAAAGCAGACAGCUAAUG